UGGCACUCUAGGAAUGGAGAGGAUUGUGUUUUGUGAGUGGCCACAUGUCCUCCCAUCAUUGGAGGUUAGAAGGCCUCGUUUUUGGCCAAUGAGAGCAAAGGUGGGAGAUCAUGCUUUUAGGGUUAGAAGGUGACACCCUUGGCCUAUAAAUAGAGGUGUCUCCACCCUUGUACUACUCAUCUUAGAUCAAGACUAGAGCAACCCAUGAGGCCCUUCCUCCUUGAGUUGGCCUAACCUCUCUUGGAGCCACCAAACACUACACCACCACCACCAUAUCUCCUAGAGGCUUUGAGCUUCUACACCAUCCAUACCUUAACUCAUCAUCAUUGGACCAUUUACUACCAUAUUUCCGUACCAUUCC
rnacentral:lncRNA from 1 species